rnacentral:rRNA from 1 species
CCUACGGGGGGCAGCAGUGAGGAAUAUUGGUCAAUGGACGGAAGUCUGAACCAGCCAUGCCGCGUGCAGGAAGACGGCUCUAUGAGUUGUAAACUGCUUUUGUACAAGGGUAAACCUGAAUACGUGUAUUCAGCUGAACGUACUGUACGAAUAAGGAUCGGCUAACUCCGUGCCAGCAGCCGCGGUAAUACGGAGGAACCAAGCGUUAUCCGGAUUUAUUGGGUUUAAAGGGUGCGUAGGCGGAUUGAUAAGUUAGAGGUGAAAUGUCCGAGCGUAACUCGGGAACUGCCUCUAAUACUGUUGAGCUAGAGAGUAGGUGCGGUAGGCGGAAUGUAUGGUGUAGCGGUGAAAUGCUUAGAGAUCAUACAGAACACCAAUUGCGAAGGCAGCUUACCAAACUAUAACUGACGUUGAGGCACGAAAGCGUGGGGAGCAAACAGGAUUAGAUACCCCAGUAGUC